AAUUUAUACCAAUUUCUAACAAAAACAAAGGGAACAGAUGGCCACUUUAAUUCUUCGGUUGUAUCCCCACAUAUAAGGAUUUCGAAAGGACAAGGGGCUUAGGAAGGGUAAAGCAAGUUGAAGGAGGUCAUACGAACCAAAUCUCUUACAUGUCAUCAUGUUUAUAACACUGCACUUAACAAAUUAUACUUUGAAUUCGAAGUUACUGCGUGUAUAUGUCCAUCAACCAAGCUGUCUGAAUCUACAGCAGCGCCAAGCCAUGCUGUCGGCCUAGACCGAAGAAAAUGUUGUCAGGAUGUAAAUUUCCAACGUCAUCUGUACGGUUGUAUCGCCACUGUGAAGCUGGAACUUGUAAAAUGUCACCUCCGCCCGAGCUGCACGACACGAAAAACGAAUUAUCAGACGUUGUAAAUAAUUCACUUUAUGUUGCCUGAGAAAAAUACUGUGACUACAUCAUAAUGUAUAUAUACGGUCAAUGAUCUGUCGUUACUCGCUUCGGUUGGCUAUUGGCAAAUGGACUCUCAGAAGAGGCUCUCUCGAGCCGAAGACAAAGUGGUGGCAGUUUCCAGGGAAACAAGAAGUAAAAUUCGAGUAAGCUUUGUGAAUAUGGCAGCGGUAAAACGAUGAAAAGUCUUUUGAAAUCCAAGUGUUUAUCGGCAACAGGUUCCAGAUAAUCACCAACAUCCUUGACCAAACUAAUCAGGAAACAUAAAAGCAAAUGUGAGAAUGUCAUUCUUGUGGCUUACAAAUUUGACUGAAGUCCAUAUGAUGAAUGUAGCUCUCUGUCCUUCACAUCACUAUCAGUGAAGAUUCGGUUCUUAAUAUAUCAAAAUGAAAGAAGUCUUUGGUUUAAUAAUGAAAUUUAAUAGCAUUAAGAUAUUCAGGUAAUCUUCAAAAGUGUUAGGAGGCUAUCCCUUUAAUUUCAAUAAAAUUUGAGGCCCAAUACAUUCAGUUUGUUUUAGAGCCGUUUGUCAUCAGUGAAGCGAGUGUUAAAAUUAUGCCCAAGUUUUAUCAUUUUACUAAUAUUAUUGUAAAUUAUUUCUGAACAAUGAAAACAUGACAAUUUUAACAAGGUUGGAAAGAUUUUAUUAAA